CAGUCGCCCACGGGAACACGUAGGGUGCGAGCGUUAAUCGGAAUUACUGGGCGUAAAGCGUGCGCAGGCGGUUGUGUAAGACAGGUGUGAAAUCCCCGGGCUUAACCUGGGAACUGCGCUUGUGACUGCACAGCUAGAGUAUGGCAGAGGGGGGUGGAAUUCCACGUGUAGCAGUGAAAUGCGUAGAGAUGUGGAGGAACACCGAUGGCGAAGGCAGCCCCCUGGGCCAAUACUGACGCUCAUGCACGAAAGCGUGGGGAGCAAACAGGAUUAGAGACCCCUGUAGUCCCUGUCUCUUAUU
rnacentral:rRNA from 1 species